rnacentral:lncRNA from 1 species
GUUGGACUAAGAGCCUGAGUUCUUUGCUAGCUGUCAGCCAGAGGCCUCCCUUGGCAUGCGAACCUCUCCAUAGGGCAGCUGACAACAUAGCAGCCGGCUUCCUUCAAGCUUCUUGCCACUUGUGAUGUGGAGGAGAUGUUGAGAGCCAGAGAAGCUAUCCUGUGCCCAGAGAGGAAGCGUGAGCUAAGAUGGCACAACCAUGCUGUGGGCCUGGGCUGACGCCUCAGGACUCUAAUGUGGGACAGAAAUCUCUACCUAUUCUACUCUGCGGUCUCUUUGUCACAGAGGCUUAAACACUAUUCUAAACAUAACUCAUCCUUCAAGAUUUGAGCCUUUAUAAGGAUGGAAGACACACACAAAGGAAACAACAUGUGAAGACGGAGAGAGAAAAGAGCCAUCUACAAGUAAAGGAGAGAGGCCUCAGAAGAAACCAACCCUGUCGACGCCUUGAUUUUGAACUUCUAGGCUUCAGAAUUGUGAGAAAAUAAAAUGCUAUUGUUUAAGCUA